GAGUGAGUAAGUCCCUCUCGAAAAGGAUGAGGCCGCCAAUUAGCGGGUGGGACGAAGUAGAGAGGGGGUCGCUA
rnacentral:ncRNA from 1 species